AUUUUGAUGGCUGGAGUGAGGAGUAUGAUUUUUGGCUAGAUGCUGAUAGCCCAGAUCUGCACCCAGUAGGCUGGUGUCAGAAGACAGGUCAUCCUCUACAACACCCCAACGGUCCCAGAGAUUCUCCAGUGCCUCCAGGACAAGGCUGCCCAACCCCAGGAUGCAACGGAGUCGGACAUAUUAGAGGACCUCGGUAUGGGACACAUUACACGGCGGUGAGCUGUCCAUACUCGGAUGUGAAUUUGAAUAAGGACGGGCUGGUGCCGGACAGACUGAACGGGGAGAGGCCGGUCACGCUCAGUGGACCUCCGCGGCACCGCCGUGCUGAAACGCUCACUCAGACGCACCCUCCCACACCCAGCGCCAGCACCCCUGAAGCCCCUGACACCACCACAGACGCCUGUCCACCAGCUCGCUCAGUGCGUGAGCACGUUGUGUCUGGCAGCGCUCCCAAAUGUGUCAAGCCACCUCAAGUGAAGCAGGAAGGUGACGGGAAAG